rnacentral:rRNA from 1 species
AGAGUUUGAUCAUGGCUCAGAACGAACGCUGGCGGCGUGCUUAAUACAUGCAAGUCGAACGUGAAUCCCGACUUCGGUUGGGAUGAAAGUGGCGAACGGGUGAGUAACACGUAAGUAAUCUGCCUUCAAGUUUGGGAUAACCCUGCCAACGCGGGGCUAAUACCGGAUGUGGUCCAGCUGACACAUGUUGGUUGGAUUAAAGGUCGCGAGGCCGCUUGGAGAUGAGCUUGCGGCCCAUUAGUUAGUUGGUGAGGUAACGGCCCACCAAGACGAAGAUGGGUAGCCGGCCUGAGAGGGUGUACGGCCACAUUGGGACUGAGAUACGGCCCAGACUCCUACGGGAGGCAGCAGUAGGGAAUUUUGCGCAAUGGACGGAAGUCUGACGCAGCAACGCCGCGUGAAGGAUGACGGCCUUCGGGUUGUAAACUUCUGUUGGAUGGGAAAAAAAGCCUUUUAGAAGGAAUUGAUGGUACCAUUCGAGUAAGCACCGGCUAACUACGUGCCAGCAGCCGCGGUAAUACGUAGGGUGCGAGCGUUGUUCGGAAUCACUGGGCGUAAAGGGAGCGUAGGCGGGAUCGUAAGUUAGGAGUUUAAUACAUGGGCUCAACCCGUGAUAUGCUUUUAAUACUGCGGUUCUUGAGUAUGGGAGAGGGUGAUGGAAUUCCAGGUGUAGCGGUGGAAUGCGUAGAUAUCUGGAAGAACACCAGUAGCGAAGGCGGUCACCUGGCCCAAUACUGACGCUGAGGCUCGAAAGCUGGGGGAGCAAACAGGAUUAGAUACCCUGGUAGUCCCAGCCGUAAACGAUGGACACUAGUUGCCGGGAGAGUCAAUCCUUUCGGUGACGAAGCUAACGCAUUAAGUGCCCCGCCUGGGAAGUACGCCCGCAAGGGUGAAACUUAAAUGAAUUGACGG